rnacentral:tRNA from 1 species
AUUCUUUUAAUAUAAUUAGUAUAAGUGACUUCCACUCACUAAGCCUUAAUAAACAUUAAGAAAGAAUA